CUCGGAGAACCGAUCUUGCACGAAUAUUUUUACAGACCUUGUACUUGAUACUGAUUGGACAUUGAGGCUCAAGAGAUUUGAAACCUCCUGGGGAUGAGAUUUGAGUCCCGCCCUUGUCACCGGACCCUGAGGGCUUGCAGCUUAGAUCCCCCUCCCCCAAACGUGCGCAAAGCGAUCUACUUAGAAUUCCUUUCUUCUGAACCAGUCUCAAGGGAAGGAAUUAAUAUCGUAAUGACUCCAACUUAGGCUCUUAUGUGUCACAUUACCACAGUUUUUGUAAUGCUUCUCUGCAACAUACUAGGAACGCAAUAAAGGAGAUAGCUGCGGUUUGAAGUGGAACUGAUGGAAUCAAGUUUCCAUAGAUUAAUGGGAUUAAGAAGGUGAGAACUCUGUGGUGUUUAAAAGUGGGACCUUUGGGAAACUACUAUAUGAGGUCAAUGUGGGUUUCCCAGAGAAAAAGAGAUUUCUAUGCACCAUAUCAUGAGAUGACACAGCCUGAGGAGCCUGAUGGAAUCUAUACGGUGCUGCACCAAGCUGGUGGACUUUGAAUCUCCAAAAUGGAAAUAAAGCUCACUGUGUCAUAAAAA
rnacentral:lncRNA from 1 species